UGGGGAAUAUUGGGCAAUGGAGGCAACUCUGACCCAGCAAUGCCGCGUGAAUGAAGAAGGUCUUCGGAUUGUAAAGUUCUUUAAUCAGGGACGAAGGAAAUGACGGUACCUGAGGAAUAAGCCACGGCAAACUAUGUGCCAGCAGCCGCGGUAAUACAUAGGUGGCAAGCGUUGUCCGGAAUGACUGGGCGUAAAGGGAGCGUAGGCGGUCUGUUAAGUUGGGAGUGAAAUCCCGGGGCUCAACCCCGGAACUGCUUUCAAGACUGACGGACUUGAGUGUAAGAGGGGUAAGCGGAAUUCCUAGUGUAGCGGUGGAAUGCGUAGAUAUUAGGAGGAACACCAGUGGCGAAGGCGGCUUACUGGAUUAUAACUGACGCUGAGGCUCGAAAGCGUGGGUAGCAAACAGGAUUAGAUACCC
rnacentral:rRNA from 1 species